GACGUAGGGCGCGAGCGUUGUCCGGAUUUAUUGGGCGUAAAGAGCUCGUAGGCGGUUUGUCGCGUCUGCCGUGAAAGUCCGGGGCUCAACUCCGGAUCUGCGGUGGGUACGGGCAGACUAGAGUGAUGUAGGGGAGACUGGAAUUCCUGGUGUAGCGGUGAAAUGCGCAGAUAUCAGGAGGAACACCGAUGGCGAAGGCAGCCUUCUGGGCCAACACUGACGCUCAUGCACGAAAGCGUGGGGAGCAAACAGG
rnacentral:rRNA from 1 species